UUGUGAUCUGACCCAGGGUAACCCAAGCCCUCCUCCCAUCCCUGGCAGCUCCACAAACUGUCUGGUGACAAGCCCAGGUAGGCACUCUUGCCUGCCUGUGGGCGUCUCGUGAUACGCCUACAAGGCCAGCUGCACCUCCCGACGCCGGCCACAUGCGACCCAGCCAGACCCGGUCAUUCCAGAGGACACCACCCUGACUUCAGCCAGGCACAGAGGCAUCCCCUGCUCCAUGCAGCUCUGCACUGGGCCUCUGGCUCAUGGGCCCUCCUCACCAGCACGCACUCCCCACCCCGAUCCUCACUGCACAGCACCCAUGCGCCCUCCGAUGCUCUGCUAGGCCAAGGCUUCUUUGUGCUCCUGGCGUCUGAGCACUUUCUCCAUGGACUUGCACAGCAAUGUAUUAGAGCAUCGGUAUAGCGCAUCUCACAGCCUGACAGUUACUAUUGUUAUUCAAAACAAUCCUUUAUCUCUCCCAGAUUUUAACUACCUUGAAGACAGGGCUUUAAUG
rnacentral:lncRNA from 1 species